CAAGAUGUUUAAUAUGUAAAGAAAGGGAGGCAAACCUCAAUACCUAGAGGUAUAGCACUUGCUCUCAGUCUUUUUUGUAAAGAAAUUAUUUACUUUCAAAAAGUGAAAAGAGUUUUCAGUUAUAAAUCAACCUAUGAGUUGAUGAUUUAUAUAAAAUUCAUCAGUUAUUUGAGAAACUAUUCUUGAAAUUUACCUUAGUCCUAUCUAUUUUCACAAAAAAAAGUUGCGGACUCAUAUUUUUUUCUGUGUUGCCCUAUUAUUAACUAGGUCCAAGUUUGGCACUCUAGCUUGUUCCUACAAUGUUUUGUGAUGCGAUUUUAGCCUGGUCCUAAUCUGGGUGCCUAGUUAGAACCAGUUUUAAUAAUAAAUAAUAAAUCAUUAAAAAAAUUAAUUUUAACCACAAUUAAUACUAUAUAACUUUCUAGAAGGAAUAUCCUGUAAGUUUUAAAUUAAACUCUGAGAGUUGAAUUAAAAUUUGAACCCUACAGGAAUCGAACCCCAGACGCAUGACCUACACGGAAAGAAAUGCUAUCGAAAUUUCAGCCAUAAACUUAUGGUUGAGAUUUCUGGUUGAAUUGGUUAUUCAGUCUGUCAAAUUGGCAGUGUAAGAGACCCAACGAACCUUACUACUAAAUCGUUCCUACGUCUCACGGAUACAACAAGUAUAUAGGCACUAGUAGCAGUGGUGGUGGGGAUGGUUUCCGUAGUCCGUGCUGGAACGCGAUUGACAUGGUCAUGUUUAAAGCUUUAUUGCAAAAAAAGACCAGUCUAGAAUAUAUAAACAGGGGCUGCCAAGGUAGGACCAAUGUUGGGCCAACAAUCAUUUUAGGCAUACGUUGGUGAUUUCUACACGGGUUAAAAUAAAUAUAUAUAUAGGUAGAUUUAGUUAAUUUUCUUCGUGUAUACUCAAAAAGUUUUACUUGAGCAUUAUAAUUUCUGAAAGAGAUAUACAUUUAUGAAUCUGAAAAACUGUUGAUAAGAGAAUCAAAGUCAGGUUAGAAUAUGCAAAGUAUUUAUUGUAUUUAAAUAUUUGCUUAAUAUAAUUAUUCCGAUUGAAAAAUGUUUUAUUAAUUAAUUUCAAGUUUUCCUUUUAAAAAUUAAUAAUUUAUAGUCAUUACAUCUUCGCUCGAGAUAUAAUUAGAAUGUCCUCUCUUGUUAAGAGCAACAACGUGGAAUCUAUAUGCAUGAUUUGGUAAAAGUCCAGUGACUGUAUAUUUGGGGAAAUCUGAACCGUCAAUCAAGUCAAAAUUAUCAAAUACUGCUCUAUCAUGGUAGUAUGUAACCGCGCAAAGGCGUUUUUCAAAAUAUCUUCCUUCUUUCUUAUCUAAUACAAUUUUUGUUUACAGUUUAUUAUUAAUAUGAUUAAAGCAAUUAAUUAGAAAAGAAAAAAACUCGAAAAUAUUAAGUACAAUAAGAAAUAUAAUAUAAAAAUAGUUUUUG